AACCCAACUACUGCCCCUACCACUAGUUUGGCCUAUUUACCACUAAUAGCUGGUGUACCCUCAGCCCUGGUCAUUGUCUUGGUUGUGGUCUUAUCAGUCAUCUGGGCUCUGAAAAAGCAAAGAAACAACAAACCUAAAGAGGAAGAAAAUGACCAGGAAUUAACCUACGCUGAUGUCAGUAUCGUGCAGCAGCAGAGGAGGCAGACUGAGCAAAGGACAAAUGUGGAGGUGGAGUACGGUCAAGUCAAGUUUUCAGCACGACCCCGUAAGACUGAACCAAUAGAAGAUGAUUGUGUGUAUGCAAAGGUCUGUAAAGACAGAUAACUUAGAGUCUUGCUUAGAAAAAAAGAAAGAUGGAAAUGUUGAAGGCUCUUAAUAUAACUGUUACUAUGAUAAGAAAAUAAAAUGAAAGACAGACAGAUGCCUCCACCAUAUAAAGAGACCAAACAUGCAUUUAUGCACUGCAAAAUGACAGUCAGUCAGGGAGGGAGAUGUAUGUUUUGUGGGUUUCCUUCUUCAGUUUAGUCACAGUUAGUUCCUUUUGUUGCCUCUCCACAUACAGCGUUUGCAUGCAUGCUUCAUCAUCUGAGGCUGAUUUGCUCCUGUUAUCGUUCUGCAUAGAUCCUGUUUGUAGUUUAGCAGCUGAGAAAUUUCUGCAUUUUUUAUGGAAACUCUGGAAUAAAGUUUUUUUUUGGUAAUCCAUUCAUAUGUCCUGUGAACAAUUGUUGACUUAGUAAAAGUGGUGUCAGAUUAUCCUUCAUCAAAACACAAAGUGGAAACACUGACUUCUUAUUAAUCUUCAGCACACCACAAUAUUAGUACAGUUUGAACUUCCUGAUGUUUCCUACAGCUCCGUGUGUGAUCACAGAUCAGAGAACAUGUUGUGACAAAUGUGUGCAAAACUCUUCCUUUGUCUUUUCCCAUCAAAACUAGCGUCCAGCCAAAGACACAUUCAAGUCUAGGUGAACAUGUCAUGUCGACUUUUAAGUGCAGCUUUUGAUUUAUGUUAAUAAUUUCAGGUCACCUCUGGUAUUUGACUGUAAGCCAGGAAACGCAAGGUUUUGCCUUUUGUACAGAUUAACUUAUGUUGGUUUUAGAAAGGGUAACUUUGUAA